ACAGGGGAGCAGGGGGGGAGCAAGUGGAGCCGUGGCUUUUGUUGGCGGGGGCCCCCUGGCUCCCCUGAGUCCCCCGCUUGUCUCCAGCUGGGUCUUCUGACCCCAAGAGAGGUUCCAAGGGAAAAGAUGCUUCACUUCUCCCAUAGUAUAGAAAUGCCAGUUGAAACCAAUAUACUGAUCCAAAAGGAAUGUUUAUCCACUUUUGGGAGGCGGAGGGGUGGGAGAGAAGUGGAGAACAACCUGGCAUUAGGAUCAGAAUUUUAAAUGAACAUACCCUUUGACCUAACAGUUGCGCGUACAGUAGCUCUAUCACCUACUAACUAACCUUGGAAAUCAUACAGUAUCACUUGCACAUUUUGUUCAUGAUAGGUCACUAAGGCUGGCCCAUAUUCAAGGGGAGAGGAAUUAGAUUCCCUCUUUUGAUAAGUGUGAAAGAAUUUGCAGCCAUGUUUUUAAACCAUCACAGCUGUUAUUAUUGUGGCCCUUAGUAUACUCUAGCUUCUAGUAAGUGAAUUAUCUCACUUCUUACUUAUCAGCUCCACGUGGGAGAGCAAGGAUUCAUUUGAUUCGUUAAGAUCUCAGCCCCUCAUCGCUUCCCAGUGAACCUAGGGCCCUGUUCACUGCAGAGCUCGAUAGAUGGUAUAGAAAUGAAUUUCCUCUUGCAGGAGCUGGCCUUGGAUAUCGUGCUCCACUUCCACUGGAUGACAUCCCUGUUGGCCCCAUAGAAACCAUCAUCGACACAUGUGAGAAUUAAAAUGGGUAUACGUGCUGGUACCCCCCCUUCCCUCUUAUUCCUGACUUAACUAUGGUCAUGAUGCCUGGACCUGGGCAGCCAUCUUGCACCUAUGAAGCAACCAGCACAAGGUCUAUUGGUGGUAACAGCUCUGCUGCUGCUCAUCCAGGUUAUUGCACCAUCCCUUGGGGUGCUCCUACACCUACAUGUUUGAUAUCAAGAAUUUGAAGACAGAACUGUGGUGCCAAGGCUCAGCCUUUGAGAAUAUGACUCUUUCCCUACAUUUGAAGGUUUUCUUCUCUUGGCAGAGAAAUAAAUCAAUAUAAAGGCAACCACUAGAAAAAUUAAAAACAGACUAUAAAACUUCAAAUCAUCAGACAAAAAUACAAACACAUGUGAGCACACACACAUACAUAUCAAAGAAAACAAAAAAAAUGCAUGUAAAACAUAGAAAACAGAGGAAGCAUUAAAAUAGAAAACACAGCAGAAGAUAAGAUGACAGAAGUAAGCAUAAUACAUGUUAUAUCAAGAAAUGUAAAUAGAAUAAACCCAUGUUAUAACAGAAAAAAAGAUUAUGAGAUCAUAAAACAAUGUUCUAUUGUAUGUUGUAUAGAAGAGAUGCAUCUUUACCAGAAUCACUCAGAGAAGUUAAAAAUAAAAUAUAAACCAAGGUAUACAAGAAAAUACUGAGCUGAGGCUGCAAUGUUACUCUCAGUCAAGGUCAAAUUCAAAAUAAAAAUGCUAAAUGAGAGAAAAGGAAGUUAAACAGGAAAGACAGCAGUAUCCACGUUAAGAAUCUAGUUUUUUGAAAUCUCUAGCAUAGCUUCAAAACCAAGAAUAAGAUAUGAGAGUUGAGAAUAACAGUAUACAUACAGAAAAUGCAAAGAGAAAUUGGAUGAGACAUGAGUACAUUUUAACUGACCUCAUCGGCUCAUGACCUAGUAAGAAACAAAAGAUAAGGAGGAAUGUGGGGAAUCCAAAUAGUAAUUAGUAAUUAAAUAUGAUAGAGCAUGAGGUGCAAAAAUCUCAAAUAAAAUACUAGCAAAUAUAAAUCAACAAUACCUUCCAAGAAUCAUUCAUCAUAUCCAAGUAAGUUCAUUCUAGUAAUGCAGGUGGCCCAACAUUAGGGAAUUUGUAAUAAAACUGACCAUAUUAAUAGAUCAGAGAAGAACUAUAUAACAUCUCAAUACAUGCCAAAAAGACAUUUGAAAAAUAUCCCACAUCAAUUCCCGCUUAAAACAAACAAAACCAUAACAGAGUAGCUAAAUUAUGCAUAGACGAUAUGACUGAAAAAUGCACAACCGACGAUGCACAACAGACAAUAAGAGAAUUCAAAAUGAUGGCAGUUUACAAAGCUUAAUAUACAAAACUCAGUAGCCUUCCUCUACAUAAAAAAAUACAAUUUACCAGAAUAUAUAAUAGCAAUUGCACUUAUAAUAGCAAUCAAAAAGAUAAAAUAUUCAGAACAAUACUUAAAAGACAUAUAAGGGCCUUUAUGAAUAUUAAAAUUAUACAGGGAACAUUCUAUACUGACCUUUUGAAUAGAAAGACCCAAUAUUAUAAAAACAUCAAUGCUCACUUAAUAUAUCAAUUCAAUGUGAUUCUAACUAAAAUACAGGAUUUUAAGGUGGGGAGCUUGUCAAAAAAUGAUAUGAAACUCAAAUGGGGAAUUAAAUAAGGGGCCGGGAAAGCCCUGUAAAAGAAAAGUAACACGAUGCGGCUACACCUAUCAGAUGACAAAACACAUUAUGAAAUUGUAAUUUGUAAAGAAAUUUGGUACCCAAAGAUGAAAUAGACAACCCAGUGGACCAAAGUAGAGAACUAGAAACAGACUCCAGAACACAUGAGAAUUCAAUUUCUGUUUAAGGUGACAUUUGAAUUAAAAGAAAAAGGUGGUAGGAAAAUAAAUCAUUUGGGGGAAGAAAUAAAAUGGA